rnacentral:pre_miRNA from 1 species
AUGUACCCUAGAGUUCCUCCAUAACACUUCAUCAAUAGUGGAGGCUAAUUCCAUCCUUAUUGCAAGUAAUUAUAUAACUCAUUACUUGUUGAAGUGUUUGGGGGAACUCCUGGGCUCAU